UUAGCUCUAUCCAUGUUGUUGCAAACGGUAGGAUUUAUUUUUUUCUUAUGGCUGAAUAAUAUUCCAUUGUGUAUAUGUACCACAUCUUUAUCCAUUCAUCUACUGAUGGACAGAAGAAACAACUUUGUUAAUGGCAUAAAUACCCUUAUUAUUAGGUGUAAUUAUCAGGUGUUUUCCUGAAAUAUUGUUUGGGAACUUAUAAAUGAUAGUCAAUUUCUUAGCUCUCAAAAAAUUUUUUCUUUGAAUUGGUUUAGUAAACGGGAAUGCAACUUGGCAUUGAAUCAUGUGAUUCUUCCUAGAAUGCCUAUUUUGAAAAAUGUUAAAGGUCAUUUAACUUCGAAUUUUUAAUUGAUAGUUCUUUGAACUUUAUCUUAAACCUGUCCAGACCAAAUCGAAGAAAACCUUAGCCAAACCCAGUAUAAGGAAUAUUGUGGUGGUGGAUGGCAUUCGCAUUCCAUUUUUACUAUCAGGCACUUCGUAAGUAUGGAAUGAUUGUGUCCUCACUCCCUCCCUCCCUCCCUCCGUUCCUCCUUCCUUCCUUCCUUCCUCCCCCGGCCCUUUCCCCCCCGGCUUUUAGUAAGUAUGAUUGAUAUAUAAAAACUUGUACAUAUUUAGAUUGUACAAUGUGAUUUCCUUUAAAGGUAUGCAAUGUGAGGAUUUAAUAUGUAUAUACAUGGUGAAGUGAUUACCAUGAUUGAGUUAAUGAGCAUAUCCAUCACCCUACAUAGUUUAUUUACUCCUUUUAAGGCACUUUUGAAAGUGGUCUUUGUGUAACCCAGUAGGUAAUACUGUUAGUAGACUAAUAUAUGGAUAACAUUUUCAUGAAAUGAAUAGAGUAAGUCAAAUAAUAUGAUAACGUUUGUUUUUCAUCCUUUUUCAUGAGCAAGCCUAGUGUAAUGUUAGAUUGAACCAGCCCUGUUUUGAAAACCUAGUGUGGCUCUGGGUAGUGUAGUUCCAACAGGGAUAUCCUUUCCUUGUCUUGAGAUAAAUACAUUGUUUCUGGGCCUCUUCUGAAGUCUGAAUGCAGUGCCCAUGGUUAUUGUGAAGGGCGUAUAAUCCACUGCUUUUGCCUUCUGGAAAGUAGUGGAAUUGGAUUUGAUGGACUGAUCCAAACCUUGGCACAGUACAACGCCAAGUGUGUGCAUUCAGAAUGAUCCUAGACCUGCACAGAAAUUCCCUAGAAUCAAACUGCAGUUCUUAGACUUUUCUGCUACUUUUUGUCCCCAAGUAAGGCCCAGUCUCUCCAAAAGCUGAUAAUGGACUUUGGUAAUUAGGUUCAAACUCAAUGAAAUACUAGUUCUCUUCUGUUUAGAUUGUUUUGGUGUUUAUAUUUUGAACAAGUCAUUAACCUAAAAAUAUACUGGAGAAAUGUUUGGUAUCUGCUAGAAAUAAUGAGACCUGUCUUUACAUACGAAUAUGGAAAGAUCUAGAAGAUAUGUUAAGUAUAAAAAGCAAAGUGCAGAGCAGUGUGUAAAAUGCCAUCAUUUUUGAACAAUGUGUAUGUGUGUGUGUAUACAAAUGUACAGAAAUAAUAAAUGUUUAUUUUUAAACAGAUGGUUUAAGGCUUGCAGAGUAUUUUCUUAUGGAAAUAAUGCUGUAAAUAAAUGGUAGUGAAGUUUCUUCAUUCACCUUCUUUUCUGAAUACGGUGUAACCCAUUUCUUUCUGUAAUCUCUUUCCUAUACUGACGCUUCAGCAGUAAGAGUAAGAAUCUGAAUCUUUAGCAGCAGGAGAGUGAGGACAGAGGAUCCUCCUUGUACUUAGCAGCUGCACAGUAGGAAGAGAAACUUCCAUGAAGUACGCUACCUUCCUUUUGUCUAGGAGGAUGGAUCUGUUGCCGGCCCCUCAAAGAUCUGUGCUGAACAACUGGAUGGAUCACUGUCUCUGGGCCACCCGUUUGGAGCCACUGGCUGUCGGCUGGUCAUGGCAGCUGCCAACAGGUUACGGAAGGAAGGAGGCCAAUAUGGCUUAGUGGCUGCCUGUGCAGCUGGAGGGCAGGGCCAUGCUAUGAUAGUAGAAGCUUAUCCAAAAUAAUAGAUCAAGAAGAGGCAACCUGAAUUUCUGUGUAACAUUCACGCUAGGCAAUGCCAUUUCGGUGCAAUACUAAAGGAGAUCUAUAGUUUCUAGCUCCUCUGAGGAAAACAAAUUUAUGGCCUUCUGGUAAACACUCUGCAGUAGCUUUGCUGGUGUUCUGAACUUUCCAAUAAUCACAGCUUACUGCUUUCAGGGAUUUCUUAGUCACUGGAAUCUCACCCAGUGAUACGCUGAAGCAAUCGCUUUUGGUCUCUCUCUUCAUUAAAGGCUUAGUGAGUGGUUGCAGCUUGGGAAAGAAGUUAAUUAGAUUUGGAAUCAUCUUUGUAACAUUUGCAAAUUAUGCUCAUUCCUAUUUAUUACCUAAAGAUAAGUGUUUUCUAGAAAAUGCACACCAGUGUGCCUACAUGAACUUAAGUAUCGAAAGAUAAUUUAGAAUCUAAACGUCACCGAAAACUUAACAGUAAAUGUUUAGAUACAUAAAUACCAUGUUUGUUAACCUUAAUAAAGUGGAAAAGU